AGUUACAGUUGUAAUGGCUAGCACUCUGGGCUCUGAAUCCAGUGACCUGGGUUCAAAUCUCAGUGGAACCU
rnacentral:tRNA from 1 species